CGUACGAUACGAGUUUGCUCAUGGCUCAGAACGAACGCUGGCGGCAGGCCUAACACAUGCAAGUCGAGCGGGACCUUCGGGUCUAGCGGCGGACGGGUUAGUAACGCGUGGGAACGUGCCCAAAGGUACGGAAUAGCCUCGGGAAACUGAGAGUAAUACCGUAUGUGCCCCUCGGGGGAAAGAUUUAUCGCCUUUGGAUCGGCCCGCGUUGGAUUAGGUAGUUGGUGGGGUAAUGGCCUACCAAGCCGACGAUCCAUAGCUGGUUUGAGAGGAUGAUCAGCAACACUGGGACUGAGACACGGCCCAGACUCCUACGGGAGGCAGCAGUGGGGAAUCUUAGACAAUGGGGGAAACUCUGAUCUAGCCAUGCCGCGUGAGCGAUGAAGGCCUUAGGGUUGUAAAGCUCUUUUCAGAUGGGAAGAUAAUGACGGUACCAUCAGAAGAAGCCCCGGCUAAACUCCGUG
rnacentral:rRNA from 1 species